UCAAUGGUAUAUUUUGUUUUAUGAUUGCUGUAUUCAGGGGGAGUAAACAUUAAUGUCAGUAAAAUUAAUGAUUAGUACAAGAAGUUUCAAGAAACAAAAAGAGAAAAUGCAUUCAAAAGAAAAGGGGGAGUUAACAAUGUUUGAUGAUGUCAAAAAGAGGGAGAAAUUAAAGAAAAGUAUCAAAAGCAAGAUUAAUAAAAGACUUAAAAACAAAAUGAG
rnacentral:lncRNA from 1 species